rnacentral:tRNA from 1 species
GGGGACGUGGUGUAGUCUGGUUUAACACACUGCCCUGUCAAGGCAGAGACCGCGGGUUCAAAUCCCGUCGUUCCCGCCA